rnacentral:rRNA from 1 species
CCUACGGGUGGCUGCAGUGGGGAAUAUUGGACAAUGGGGGCAACCCUGAUCCAGCCAUGCCGCGUGUGUGAAGAAGGCCCUCGGGUUGUAAAGCACUUUCAGUGAGGAAGAACGCCUGGUGGUUAAUACCCAUCAGGAAAGACAUCACUCACAGAAGAAGCACCGGCUAACUCCGUGCCAGCAGCCGCGGUAAUACGGAGGGUGCGAGCGUUAAUCGGAAUUACUGGGCGUAAAGCGCGCGUAGGUGGCUUGAUAAGCCGGUUGUGAAAGCCCCGGGCUCAACCUGGGAACGGCAUCCGGAACUGUCAAGCUAGAGUGCAGGAGAGGAAGGUAGAAUUCCUGGUGUAGCGGUGAAAUGCGUAGAGAUCGGGAGGAAUACCAGUGGCGAAGGUGGCCUUCUGGACUGACACUGACACUGAGGUGCGAAAGCGUGGGUAGCAAACAGGAUUAGAUACCCUGGUAGUC